rnacentral:lncRNA from 1 species
UGGGUUUUGGAGACUACCCAGCCGAGUAUAAUCCCAAAGUCCAUGGUCCUUAUGAUCCAGCACGGUUCUAUGGCAAGCGUAAG